CAUUUUUCUUUUCUUUUUCCCAUUUCCUUUUCCUUCCGCGAGCCAACCCUUGCCCCAAAAAUCUUGCGGCGACUUCUCCCGAGCCCUAACCGGCGCCGAGCUCCUUCUCCCUCUCACUCUCAUGGCGAGGAGCGCCUCUCCCCUCUACUGAUCUCCUCUCCCCCUCAUCCAUGCUGAGCCGCGCGCCGAUCACCGACCACAAGAAUCCAGUGCCGUCGCCGUGCCCUAGCGCCUGCCGACGCCCUCUUCCUCUCCUCUGGCCGACGCGACACUACUGCCCUUCUUCUCUACCUAGCGCCGGCCGCCGCCGCCCUGAGCCCUAGACCUGUCUCUGCCGUAGAGAUCAGAACCGUGCCGACGCCACCUUCUUCUUCCCUUGCCCUCUCUGCCCCAACGUCUCUGUUUGGGUUGUUUCCGGCCAAGAGCAAGGAGGAUUUAAAUCCGAUGUUUCUUCCUCGUGCCUAGCUUGUAUUCCUUCUCAGUCGCCACUCAUCUGCUCGAUCACAUCAGCGACUUCUUGCUUGAUCCGGUUGAUAUCAGUGUGGUUCAGUGAGCAGGAAUUGUGUACGGUGGGGAGUUCAUGGUUUUGGUAGCAAACCAUACAACAAUUCCUUAUUCCAGCAGCAGUAGACACACCGGUGAUUUCCAGCCGUGGUUUACACUCUGAUCACGAGGCAUCAGUGAUUAUCAUCAGAUUUGGACUUUGAUUUGAGACUGUGUCUCGGCAAGGGAUCUAUUUCGGAUUGGACCUUUCUAUUGG